AGUGGGAUAACUGGGUAGAAUGGUGGUUCAUUUCAAGUUUUCUGAGGAAUCUCCAUACUGCUUUCCAGAGUGGUUGCACCAAUUUGCAGUCCCAUCAGCAAU
rnacentral:pre_miRNA from 1 species